rnacentral:rRNA from 1 species
CAGCAGCAGCCGCGGGAAUACGUAGGUCCCGAGCGUUGUCCGGAUUUAUUGGGCGUAAAGCGAGCGCAGGCGGUUUGAUAAGUCUGUCUAGAAAGUGCGGGGCUAAACCCCGUGAGGGGAUGGAAACUGUAUGCCUUGAGUGCAGGAGAGGAAAGCGGAAUUCCCAGUGUAGCGGUGAAAUGCGUAGAUAUUGGGAGGAACACCAGUGGCGAAGGCGGCUUUUUGGACUGUAACUGACGCUGAGGCUCGAAAGCCAGGGGAGCGAACGGGAUUAGAUACCCGCGUAGUCCCUGUCUCUUAUACA